UAGGGAAUUUUGCGCAAUGGGCGAAAGCCUGACGCAGCGACGUCGCGUGUGGGAUGAAGGGUUUCGGCUCGUAAACCACUGUCAGAUGAGAAGAUGGAACAGAGACCUAAUACGUCUUUGUUUUGACUGUAUCGUCAAAGGAAGCACCGGCUAACUACGUGCCAGCAGCCGCGGUAAUACGUAGGGUGCAAGCGUUACUCGGAAUCAUUGGGCGUAAAGGGUAUGUAGGCGGAACUUUAAGUCGGAUGUGAAAGCCUUGGGCUUAACCCAAGAAGUGCAUUCGAUACUACUGUUCUAGAGUUCAGGAGAGGGAGGCAGAAUUCCAGGUGUAGAGGUGAAAUCCGUAGAUAUCUGGAGGAAUACCGGAGGCGAAGGCGGCCUCCUGGACUGAUACUGACGCUGAAAUACGAAAGCGCGGGGAUCAAACAGG
rnacentral:rRNA from 1 species